UGAUUUGACUUCAAGACGUGAUCGGUGUGGCUGCAAGCCUACAAAAGAUGAUGUAAAAAGAUGUUUCAUGUUAGACUUUGACAGAGCUGCGUUCAUAAUUGCUUCAACUGCUACGGAGGAAGAAAUGCUUCAAUGGUACCGUGAACACAUUGUGUGGACAGACAAAGCACUAACGAUGAAACUUAUUAGAAAAGGCAUCUUAUCUCGCAUUUAUGCUCCCAUGGUAAGAUUCAUUUUCUCAAAUUUCCUUUCUGGUUUCUACUCAAGCGAUUUAUACUG